rnacentral:misc_RNA from 1 species
GAUGAAGAACAUAGCGAAAUGCGAUAAGUAAUGUGAAUUGCAGAAUUCAGUGAAUCAUCGAAUCUUUGAACGCACAUUGCGCCCGCCAGUAUUCUGGCGGGCAUGCCUGUUCGAGCGUCAUUUCAACCAUCAAGCCCCCGGCUUGUGUUGGGGACCUGCGGCUGCCGCAGGCCCUGAAAACCAGUGGCGGGCUCGCUGUCACACCGAGCGUAGUAGAUUUUCAUCUCGCUCAGGGCGUGCUGCGGGUUCCGGCCGUAAAAAGCCUUAUUUACCCAAGGUUGACCUCGGAUCAGGUAGGAAGACCCGCUGAACUUAAGCAUAUCAAUAAGCGGAGGA